rnacentral:miRNA from 1 species
UUUAUUCCUCCUUUGUUGGACUAAUAUUUUCCGAGACUUUGUACUCGAUGUUACUAGUAUACAUGAAAUCGAGUACAAAGUCUCGGAAAAUAUUAGUCCAACAAAGGAGGAAUA